GACGAACGCUGGCGGCGUGCUUAACACAUGCAAGUCGAACGAAGAGCGACGGAAGCUUGCUUCUAUCAAUCUUAGUGGCGAACGGGUGAGUAACGCGUAAUCAACCUGCCCUUCAGAGGGGGACAACAGUUGGAAACGACUGCUAAUACCGCAUACGAUCUAAUCUCGGCAUCGAGGAUGGAUGAAAGGUGGCUUCUACAUGUAAGCUAUCACUGAAGGCGGGGUUUGCGUCUGAUUAGCUAGUUGGGGGGGUAACGGGCCACCAAGGCGAUGAUCAGUAGCCGGUCUGAGAGGAGGAAGGGACACAUUGGGACUGAGAAACGGCCCACACUCCUACGGGAGGCAGCAGUGGGGAAUAUUCAGCAAUGGACGAAAGUCUGAAGGGGCAACGCCGCGUGAGUGAUGACGGCCUUCGGCUUGUAAAGCUCUGUUAAUCGGGACGAAAGGCCUUCUUGCGAAUAGUGAGAAGGAUUGACGGUACCGGAAUAGAAAGCCACGGCUAACUACGUG
rnacentral:rRNA from 1 species